rnacentral:lncRNA from 1 species
GGCAGGACUGGUUUCGAAGUUAACUUAUGUUAACUUAUGACAGGACUGGUUCGAAGUUAACUUAUAUCAAUAGCGGACCUGUUUCCGAGUUAACUUUUUGGCAGAAAUGAAAACAGUCCUAGGACCAAGUCUGCUUUUCAAGUUAACUAGAUUUUGGUCCUAGGACUGGUCAGAGCAGUCCUAAAUCCGGUCACAGGUUAACUUUGACCAGUCC